rnacentral:misc_RNA from 1 species
GAAAUGCGAUAAGUAAUGUGAAUUGCAGAAUUCAGUGAAUCAUCGAAUCUUUGAACGCACAUUGCGCCCGCCAGUAUUCUGGCGGGCAUGCCUGUUCGAGCGUCAUUUCAACCAUCAAGCCCCCGGCUUGUGUUGGGGACCUGCGGCUGCCCGCAGGCCCUGAAAAACAGUGGCGGGCUCGCUGUCACACCGAGCGUAGUAGGAUACAUUCUCGCUCAGGGCGUGCUGCGGGUUCCGGCCGUUAAACGACCUUCAUAACCCAAGGUUGACCUCGGAUCAGGUAGGAAGACCCGCUGAACUUAAGC